CACUCCUAGCCGUUAAACACUCAAAUCCCACAUUCUUUUCUCUCUCCUCUCUCAUUUUGCUAACUCAAUCUCUCUCUUCUAUGACUGAUUCACCUCACUGAAUACACUCAAUCUCCUCCAUUUCACCGCCCUAAUUCCGAAAAUUUCCCCUCUUUCUCUCUCCUCUAAAUCGCAUCAAAAGUAGAGGACCCAAUUUAGGAUGUCUUUUGCACGAAUCUCGUUACUCGGAAGUGGAUAUUGUGGUGAUGAUUCUUGUAAAAAACAUCACAGUAUGUUAUGGGGCAAAUUGGAUACGCUCUUGUUCCCAUGAUUGCUAGGGGAUUUAUGCUAGGUACCGACUAGCCUGUGAUUCUACACAUGCUUGAUAUUCAUCCUGCUGCUGAGGCUUUAAAUGGAGUUAAAAUGGAGCUGGUGGAUGCUGCUUUCCGACUUCUUAAAGGUAUCGUUGCUUCAACCGAUGCUGCUGAAGCCCGCAAAGGUGUAAAUGUAUCUAUCAUGGUUGGUGGCUUCCCAAGGAAAUAAGGCAUGGAGAGGAAGGAUGUGAUGGCAAAUAAUGUGUCAAUGUACAAGUCUCAAGCAUCUGCUCUUGAGCAACAUGCUGCCCCCAACUGCAAGGUUUGUUAUUUAGCCCAAUUUUUUUGUAAAUUUUGAUAAAAGUUGUAAUUAGUGGUGUACACUAGUGUUUAUCAAUAUCAGAUUGGCUAUGAUAAUCAUGUACAUGAUUCAAUGUUGGCAUAUUUUUAUACUAUUUUUUCUAUGUCCUUGAAAUGAUAGUUAGGAGUCAAUGACAUGGUGUUUAUUCUGUGUGCUAGUCUCUAGUGAAUACAAAUGAAAACACGACCGUCAGAUCUGCUGGUUAAAUUUGUUACCUUCAGUUUGACUGGUGUUUAGAACUGCUCGUGUCAUACUGUAAUGUCCUGUUUUAUUUAAGCCUGUUGAAACCUGUUCAAUAUUAGAAUAACUGAGGAAAUAAGUGACAUGGUUGUGAAAUAUGUUUCGUACCACUUAUGGACAAGUUUCAAAUUGGUUAUUUGGUUUCUAAUUACGUACACCUGGGCUGGAUAAUCGAUUGUGUUUAGGUCGAUUAGAGGUCGUGCUUAGAUUGCGCUACAGUUGGGCCUAAGGCACGGGUAGUAGGGCCGAAACUCAUGGGAAGCAAAUGGGAGGCAAGUGUGUGAGGGACAUGUGGCAUAAGGAGAGUAUGGAGUGGGGAGUAAGUACGGUCCCCUACUCUCCAAGUGGUCCUCACAUACCUUUUCAUGUAAUAGUGACACUUGUAGAUUUAUUAUUAGUUUGCCUAUUUAUUUUAAUUUA